rnacentral:rRNA from 1 species
CUUGAAGUCAGUCGCGUCUUCUGGAACUCAGCCUUGCUCUUGCUUGGUGUACUUUCUAGUUGACGGGUCAACAUCAAUUUUGGUUGGUGGAUAAAGAUUGAAGGAAUGUGGCAUCUUCGGAUGUGUUAUAGCCUUUGAUCGCAUACACUGGCUGGGAUUGAGGACUGCAGCACGCCUUUAUGGCCAGGGUUCGCCCAUGUAACGUGCUUAGGAUGUUGGCAUAAUGGCUUUAAG